rnacentral:misc_RNA from 1 species
AAGUCGUAACAAGGUCUCCGUAGGUGAACCUGCGGAGGGAUCAUUACACAAAUAUGAAGGCGGGCUGGAACCUCUCGGGGUUACAGCCUUGCCGAAUUAUUCACCCUUGUCUUUUGCGUACUUCUUGUUUCCUUGGUGGGUUCGCCCACCACUAGGACAAACAUAAACCUUUUGUAAUUGCAAUCAGCGUCAGUAACAAAUUAAUAAUUACAA